rnacentral:rRNA from 1 species
GAUGAACGCUAGCUACAGGCUUAACACAUGCAAGUCGAGGGGUAACGAGAGGAAAGCUUGCUUUCCUUGUUGACGACCGGCGCACGGGUGAGUAACGCGUAUCCAACCUGCCCCCAACUAGGGAAUAACCUUGCGAAAGUAAGACUAAUACCCUAUAAUUUCCUCAGAUGUCAUCUGACGAGGAAUAAAGAUUUAUCGGUUGUGGAUGGGGAUGCGUCUGAUUAGCUGGUUGGCGGGGUAACGGCCCACCAGGGCAACGAUCAGUAGGGGUUCUGAGAGGAAGGUCCCCCACAUUGGAACUGAGACACGGUCCAAACUCCUACGGGAGGCAGCAGUGAGGAAUAUUGGUCAAUGGGCGGAAGCCAGAACCAGCCAAGUAGCGUGCAGGAUGACGGCCCUAUGGGUUGUAAACUGCUUUUACACAGGAAUAAAGUUAGCCACGUGUGGUUAUUUGUAGGUACUGUAUGAAUAUGGACCGGCUAAUUCCGUGCCAGCCGCCGCUGUAA